rnacentral:rRNA from 4 species
CCUGGCGGCACUAGCGCGGUGGUCCCACCUGACCCCAUGCCGAACUCAGAAGUGAAACGCCGUAGCGCCGAUGGUAGUGUGGGGGUCUCCCCAUGCGAGAGUAGGGAACUGCCAGGC